GCACCCGUAGCUCAAAAGGAUAGAGCAAUGCACUCCUAACGCGUAGAUACUGGUUCGAUUCCGGUCGGGUGCG
rnacentral:tRNA from 4 species